CGUGGGGGGAGGUUAAGUGCCUGUUCAAGGGAUCAACGGCAGGCAAUGGUAUCACUCCAGUUGCCAGCUCACUUCCCACCAGAUUUUUCCCGGGACCCGGGAUUCGAACUGACGACCCUCCAGCUCGCCUCUCUACCCGCUAGGCUACGUGCCGAACAACUCCAAGAUGCAUUAGUCACAACUUAACUCACUCAACACUGGACCGAGUGAUGUUAUGAAGAUGUGAGGAGAGAGCUGGAUAGAGACUGUAAGGGCCAACCAGGGGGAUGAAGGGGUAGGAGUGAAUGAGAGUGCCCCCACUGAUCUGCUUUCUUCAGGCUGU
rnacentral:lncRNA from 1 species